rnacentral:rRNA from 1 species
GAUCCUGGCUCAGGAUGAACGCUAGCUACAGGCUUAACACAUGCAAGUCGAGGGGAAACGAUAUUGGAAGCUUGCUUCCGAUAGGCGUCGACCGGCGCACGGGUGAGUAACGCGUAUCCAACCUGCCCACCACUUGGGGAUAACCUUGCGAAAGUAAGACUAAUACCUCAUGGCCUCCGAGCUUGACAUCAACCUUGGAGUAAAGAUUCAUUGCCGUGGGAUGGGGAUGCGUCUGAUUAGCUUGUUGGCGGGGCAACGGCCCACCAAGGCUACGAUCAGUAGGGGUUCUGAGAGGAAGGUCCCCCACAUUGGAACUGAGACACGGUCCAAACUCCUACGGGAGGCAGCAGUGAGGAAUAUUGGUCAAUGGACGGAAGUCUGAACCAGCCAAGUAGCGUGCAGGAAGACGGCCCUAUGGGUUGUAAACUGCUUUUAUGUGGGAAUAAAGUGAGGGACGUGUCCCUUUUGUAGGUACCACAUGAAUAAGGACCGGCUAAUUCCGUG